GGAAAAGGCAAUGAGUAUACAUUGCUAGUGGUAGUGUAAGUUGAAGCAGUCAAUCUGGAAAGCAAUAUGGAGAUUCCUUGGAAAACUUGGAAUGGAACCACCAAUUGACCCAGCUAUCCUACUCCUUGGUGUUGAACACCGACACAAAGAAAAGACCACCGACUCCAAUUUUAAAUCAAGUUAAAGCAUGCUCAUAUUUGUGUACACAAGGCUGGCCAUCGACAGUCUCACCUGAAAUUCCGGGCUAGAGAUAAGUACCCCAGCUUUCAAGGGACACGGUUUUAUAUCACAAAAAGUUGCAAAGGGGGGGUAUCUUGAGAACAGGAUUUUGACAAGCAUAAUACAAAGGCAGAUAGCAGGUUAAUGAUCUAAAUGGCAUGAUAUUUCAAGGUAGGGAGUAAAUUCAAAUCCCAACAUCAGAAUUUAUGAGGUCCACUAACGUUUCAGAGAGGAUUAUUAUCUGGUCAGGGAAAGCAAGGCAUGGGUGAGUUCAAAGCAUGGGCAGGAAUUCCAAACAAGUUUAGAAAUCGCAGUAAUUUAUAGUAAAACAGAAAUGAACUUUUCAUGACUUUGUAAUGAGAUGGCUCCCAACCUUAAAAUGGAAUCAGGCUGGGUUCAUCACUCAGUUUAUACCCAAAGGACUUAAAAACAGCAUUCUACAGGGACACAGCCACAUCAAUGUUUAUAGCAGCACAAUUCACAAUAGCUAAAUUGUGAAACCAACCCAGGUACCUUUUAGUAGAUGAAUGGAUAGGGAAAUUUUGGUGUAUAUACACAAUGGAAUAUUACUCAGCAUUAAAAGAGAAUAAAAUCAUAGUAUUUGCAAGUAAAUGGAUGGAGUUGGAGAAUAUAAUGCUAAGUGAAGCAAGCCAAUCCCCCCAAACCAAAUGCUAAAUGUUUUCUUUGAUAUGAGGAUGCUGACUCAUAAUGGUGGUGGUCGGGGGAGCAUGGGAGGAAUGGAGGAA
rnacentral:lncRNA from 1 species